rnacentral:rRNA from 1 species
CCUACGGGUGGCAGCAGUGGGGAAUAUUGGACAAUGGGCGAAAGCCUGAUCCAGCCAUGCCGCGUGUGUGAAGAAGGCCUUCGGGUUGUAAAGCACUUUCAGUGGGGAAGAAAGCCUUGGGGCUAAUACCCUCGAGGAAGGACAUCACCCACAGAAGAAGAACCGGCUAACUCCGUGCCAGCAGCCGCGGUAAUACGGAGGGUGCGAGCGUUAAUCGGAAUUACUGGGCGUAAAGCGCGCGUAGGCGGUCUGAUAAGCCGGUUGUGAAAGCCCCGGGCUCAACCUGGGAACGGCAUCCGGAACUGUCAGGCUAGAGUGCAGGAGAGGAAGGUAGAAUUCCCGGUGUAGCGGUGAAAUGCGUAGAGAUCGGGAGGAAUACCAGUGGCGAAGGCGGCCUUCUGGACUGACACUGACGCUGAGGUGCGAAAGCGUGGGUAGCAAACAGGAUUAGAUACCCUUGUAGUC